rnacentral:rRNA from 1 species
AGCAGCCGCGGUAAUUCCAGCUCCAAUAGCGUAUAUUAAAGUUGUUGCAGUUAAAAAGCUCGUAGUUGAAUUUCGGGAUUGGCGCAUCGGUCGUGCCUCACGGGGUAUGAACUGGUGCAGUCAAUUUCUCACCUCCUGGAGAACCGCGAUGUCCUUAAUUGGAUGCCGCGGGGAACCAGGACCUUUACUUUGAAAAAAUUAGAGUGUUUAAAGCAGGCAUUUUUGCUUGAAUACAUUAGCAUGGAAUAAUAAAAUAGGACGGCAUGGUUCUAUUUUGUUGGUUUCUAGGACCACCGUAAUGAUUAAUAGGGAUAGUUGGGGGCAUUAGUAUCCAAUUGUCAGAGGUGAAAUUCUUGGAUUUAUUGAAGACUAACUACUGCGAAAGCAUUUGCCAAGGAUGUUUUCAUUAAUCAAGAACGAAAGUUAGGGGAUCGAAGACGAUCAGAUACCGUCGUAGUCUUAACCAUAAACUAUGCCGACUAGGAAUCAGACGAUGUUAAUUUUUUAAUGACUCGUUUGG